rnacentral:rRNA from 1 species
AAGACCUUGCGCUUUUGGAGCGGCCGAUGUCUGAUUAGCUUGUUGGUAAGGUAAAAGCUUACCAAGGCUUCGAUCAGUAGCUGGUCUGAGAGGACGACCAGCCACACUGGGACUGAGACACGGCCCAGACUCCUACGGGAGGCAGCAGUGGGGAAUUUUGGACAAUGGGGGCAACCCUGAUCCAGCCAUGCCGCGUGAGUGAAGAAGGCCUUCGGGUUGUAAAGCUCUUUCAGCCGGAACGAAACGGUUACGGUUAAUACCCGUGACUACUGACGGUACCGGAAGAAGAAGCACCGGCUAACUACGUGCCAGCAGCCGCGGUAAUACGUAGGGUGCAAGUGUUAAUCGGAAUUACUGGGCGUAAAGCGUGCGCAGGUGGUUUUGUAAGUCAGAUGUGAAAUCCCCGGGCUUAACCUGGGAACU